rnacentral:misc_RNA from 1 species
AGCCAUUGCCAUCUGAGGAAGAGCUCCGCGAUACCAUGGUAAUUGUGGUAUCUCUCUCGGAUACUUCGUUGUUCGAGUUGGAGCUUGAAAUUCUGCCUUGCUAUUCUUUCCUGCAAUUCCUCCCAAGACAAGCAAUGGUGAUGUCACAAGGGCCCAUAUGAGGAAAAUGACCACGAUGGUACCAAAAGGAAGUGCUGCAGUGGCAUGAUAACCAAUUGCAACAGAAUUAAGGAAGCAGAAAGUUAGAAGCAGUGGCCCACAGAACAGACCUCCUGUCAACAACAAGUUCCUUACCCAAUUUUUCCCUUCAAGUUGACAAUAGAAUGAUGCUGCAGUAUAGCCUGCAAUUCCUGAUGUAAGAGCAUAAAUAAUCACCAAAGCUGUGAAAAGAGCUCCUCGGUUGUAGGGGUAAAACACACCAACAAGCGCAAGUAUAAAUAUGAAAAUUGCCAGGGUAAACAACUGUGUGCCAGAACCCAGGGCUGCUGCAAAAAGUGACUUAUGCUUCGGGUACCUAAACACAUCACCAUGAAUGUACUUCCACCCAGUUUCUUCUUGGUCA